rnacentral:rRNA from 1 species
UACGUAGGGUCCAAGCGUUAUCCGGAAUCACUGGGCGUAAGCGUGACGUAGGCGGAUGUUUAAGUGUGAUGUUAAAUCGUGGGGCUCAACCCUGUCGUUGCAUCGCAUACUGGGCAUCUAGAGGACGGCAGAGGCAAGUGGAACUCGUAGUGUAGCAGUGAAAUGCGUAGAUAUUACGAAGAACACCAAUGGCGAAGGCAGCUUGCUGGGCCGACCCUGACGCUGAGGUACGAAAGCGUGGGGAGCCGAAC